AAUUCCCGCUGAACUUAAGCAUAUCAAUAAGCGGAGGAAAAGAAACCAACAGGGAUUGCCCCAGUAACGGCGAGUGAAGCGGCAACAGCUCAAAUUUGAAAUCUGGUCCCUAGGGCCCGAGUUGUAAUUUGUAGAGGAUGCUUUUGGUGAGGUGCCGCCCGAGUUCCCUGGAACGGGACGCCACAGAGGGUGAGAGCCCCGUCUGGCUGGCCGCCGAGCCUCUGUAAAGCUCCUUCGACGAGUCGAGUAGUUUGGGAAUGCUGCUCAAAAUGGGAGGUAUAUGUCUUCUAAAGCUAAAUAUUGGCCAGAGACCGAUAGCGCACAAGUAGAGUGAUCGAAAGAUGAAAAGCACCUUGAAAAGAGGGUUAAAUAGUACGUGAAAUUGUUGAAAGGGAAGCGCUUGUGACCAGACUUGGGCGCGGCGGAUCAUCCGGGGUUCUCUCCGGUGCACUUCGCCGCGUCUAGGCCAGCAUCAGUUCGUCGCGGGGGAAAAAGGCUUCGGGAACGUGGCUCCUCCGGGAGUGUUAUAGCCCGUUGCAUAAUACCCUGCGGUGGACUGAGGACCGCGCAUCUGCAAGGAUGCUGGCGUAAUGGUCACCAGCGACCCGUCUUGAAACACGGACCAAGGAGUCGUCUUCGUAUGCGAGUGUUCGGGUGUCAAACCCCUACGCGUAAUGAAAGUGAACGCAGGUGAGAGCUUCGGCGCAUCAUCGACCGAUCCUGAUGUUCUCGGAUGGAUUUGAGUAAGAGCAUACGGGGCCGGACCCGAAAGAAGGUGAACUAUGCCUGUAUAGGGUGAAGCCAGAGGAAACUCUGGUGGAGGCUCGCAGCGGUUCUGACGUGCAAAUCGAUCGUGAAAUAUGGGCAUGGGGGCGAAAGACUAAUCGAAC
rnacentral:rRNA from 1 species